UACGGGGGGGGCAAGCGUUGUUCGGAAUUACUGGGCGUAAAGCGUGCGCAGGCGGUUUGCUAAGACAGGUGUGAAAUCCCCGGGCUUAACCUGGGAACUGCGCUUGUAACUGGCAAGCUAGAGUGUGGCAGAGGGGGGUGGAAUUCCAGGUGUAGCAGUGAAAUGCGUAGAGAUCUGGAGGAACACCGAUGGCGAAGGCAGCCCCCUGGGCUAACACUGACGCUCAUGCACGAAAGCGUGGGGAGCAAACAGG
rnacentral:rRNA from 1 species